AUUGAACGCUGGCGGCAUGCUUUACACAUGCAAGUCGAACGGCAGCACGGGGGCAACCCUGGUGGCGAGUGGCGAACGGGUGAGUAAUGCAUCGGAACGUACCCAGUCGUGGGGGACAACGUAGCGAAAGUUACGCUAAUACCGCAUACGAACUGAGAGUGAAAGCAGGGGAUCGCAAGACCUGGCGCGAAUGGAGCGGCAGAUGUCAGAUUAGCUAGUUGGUGGGGUAAAGGACCACCAAGGCGGCGAUCUGUAGCGGGUCUGAGAGGAUGAACCGCCACACUGGGACUGAGACACGGCCCAGACUCCUACGGGAGGCAGCAGUGGGGAAUUUUGGACAAUGGGGGCAACCCUGAUCCAGCCAUGCCGCGUGCGGGAAGAAGGCCUUCGGGUUGUAAACCGCUUUCGGACAGAAAGAAAUCGCAUGGGCUAAUACCCUGUGUGGAUGACGGUACUGUAAGAAGAAGCACCGGCUAACUACGUGCCAGCCGCCGCGGUAA
rnacentral:rRNA from 1 species